rnacentral:rRNA from 1 species
UACAGAGGGUGCGAGCGUUGUUCGGAAUUAUUGGGCGUAAAGGGCGCGUAGGCGGUGCGGUAAGUCACCUGUGAAAUCUCCUGGCUCAACUGGGAGCUUGCAGGCGAAACUGCCGUGCUGGAGUGUGGGAGAGGUGCGUGGAAUUCCCGGUGUAGCGGUGAAAUGCGUAGAUAUUGGGAAGAACACCGGUGGCGAAGGCGGCGACCUGGUCCUUGACUGACGCUGAGGCGCGAAAGCGUGGGGAGCAAACAGG